AAUAAUUCUUAUGAAGACCUAAUGAGUUAAUAUUUAUCAAAUGCUUAGAAGAGUGUCUGGCUCAACAGGCAGACUAUUUGAGCCAUUUGAUAAAUAAGGAAAAACACAAAUUUCCAUUUCAGUUCCCCUCUCUAGGGGAAGAGAGAUGAAGGGAGAAGGGAAGACAACCCAAGAUCUCAAAAAAGUUAGGUAGGAAGGUGAUCAAAGGCAGAAAGAAAAGGUAUGGGAAAAAGUCUAUAAGUAUGUCAGACAUUUCCUACUGGGGAUUGUUUAAGGUCAUAAACUCACUUUUCUGUGUGUAAAACCUUCCAACGUGCUGUCUUUACAAUGAUGAAUGUGCCAAUGUCUUGAGCAGUGAACAGAGUCAUAGGUUCUCACCCAGCAUAUUGUGUUUAUAUCAGAGACAAGAGUGAAGGUUGCAGAAGCAGUAAAAUUCUCAAGGUGCAAAUAUUUUAACAAUGAGCAAGUGUAAAAAGUUCUUCCUGGCGAGUCAGUAACUUUUCUCACUCUAGGAAACCCUGCAUGAUGGCUAGGACUUGGCCUUGGGGUUACAUCCUCCACGUUGUCCUGGUGAGCUUCUGCAAUGUCCACAGUCAUGACUGGUGUGACUCUGAUGGUCGUGGGAUCCAUCCUAAAACCAGUGAAGGCUGACAUCACACAGUGGCCGUCUUCUUUCUCCAACCACCCCACCACAUUUCCACAAUUAUGGCUGUCUUCUUGAUGGUCAGGCAGUGCUUCCUGUGGUCACUGGGACAUAAGGUCACCCUGUGGACCGGGAGCCACACAGAGUAAGAACGAACCUUCCGGCUCUCAGCAGAGAUUCUCAUGGUACAACAAGACCUGCCCCUGGGAAGUGGCCACCUUACCUGGCUCCACAGGUCUCCACCUCGGGGUUCAUCUUCUCAAGUUCACAGCCCUCUGCUAGCAGGCUAUAACCUGCUAAUCUCAGUAAGUCAAGGUCACCUACAGCUUUGAUUUGGCCAUCUCUCUACCAACCUAAAUCUUCAUUUCAGAUUCCAGGAGCGCUUGAAUUGUUUGCCUCUUGAGAAACUAAACAUUCACCAUUUAUCUUUGCUCACAUUUUAGAAAUCUCCAGCUCCAGGACUCAGCCUCCUCUUCUCUUUUCCUUAAUGUCCAAUGGUGAUGUUGUCCGGGUGACCUGGUCUUCAGCACAUGCCCAAGCCCUCCCUAAUGUAGUUCCCUCCUCCAAAUUGUAAGCUGUGGUUGGUUAAUAUCAGUAGUAACCACAGAAGAACACACAAGAAGUCAAGACACUUUUCAUUGAGAACUAUUACUUAGUGAUAUGAUUAGUCAUCAUCUAUUGAACUCUAAUGGGGCUUCCCUGGCGGCUGAGUGAUAAAGAAUUCACCUGCCAGGGCUGGAGACACAGGUUCAAUCUCUGGUCCAGGAAGAUCCCACAUGCCUCGAAGGAACUGAACCUGUGUGCCGCACUAUUGAGCCUGUGCUCUAAAACCCUGGGAACCGCAACUAAGGAGUCCCCACGCCACAACUACUGAAGUCCGUGCACUCUAGAGCCCAUGCUCUGCAACAAGAGAAGCCACUGAAGUGAAAAGCCCAGGCACCAUAACCAGAGAGCAGCCCCUGCUCGCUGCAACUACAGAAAAGCCUGAGCAGCAAUGAAGACCCAGCACAGCCAAAAAUAAAUAAAUUAAUUA